rnacentral:rRNA from 1 species
UACGUAGGGGGCAAGCGUUAUCCGGAAUUACUGGGUGUAAAGGGAGCGUAGACGGUAGAGUAAGUCUGGAGUGAAAGGCGGGGGCCCAACCCCCGGACUGCUCUGGAAACUAUUCGACUAGAGUGCAGGAGAGGUAAGCGGAAUUCCUAGUGUAGCGGUGAAAUGCGUAGAUAUUAGGAGGAACACCAGUGGCGAAGGCGGCUUACUGGACUGUAACUGACGUUGAGGCUCGAAGGCGUGGGGAGCAA